AACGUAGGAGACAAACGUUAUCCGGAGUUACUGGGCGUAAAGGGCGUGUAGGUGGUUUCGUAAGUCUGGCGUGAAAUUUUUCGGCUUAACCGGGAAAGGUCGUCGGAUACUGCGGAGCUAGAGGACGGUAGAGGCGUGUGGAAUUCCGGGUGUAGUGGUGAAAUGCGUAGAGAUCCGGAGGAACACCAGUGGCGAAGGCGACACGCUGGGCCGUACCUGACACUGAUGCGCGACAGCAUGGGGAGCAACAGG
rnacentral:rRNA from 1 species